AUUUACAUUCUUAUAACAUAGCGUUAAUGCAUCAGAUCCCAUUAUAACUCCAUAGUUAAGCAUGCUCGAGCUAGAGUAGUACUGGGAUGGGUGGCCGCCUGAGAAGUCUUAGUAUUUUACAUG
rnacentral:rRNA from 1 species